rnacentral:snRNA from 1 species
GUGCUCACUUUGGCAGCACGUAUACUAAGUGCAAGCCGUUACCGAGGUCAGCAUGGUCCCUGCAUGAGAAUGACAUUGACAUUUUUUGAAGUGUUCCAAAUGUUU